GGGAAGUAGCUCAGCUUGGUAGAGCACAUGGUUUGGGACCAUGGGGUCGCAGGUUCGAAUCCUGUCUUCCCGACCAU
rnacentral:tRNA from 1 species